rnacentral:tRNA from 1 species
GAUAUGGCUCACUGGUAGAAUGCUUGCCUAGCAUGCAUGAGGCCCUAGGUUCAAUCCCUAGUACA